UACGUAGGCAGCAAGCGUUGUUCGGAAUUACUGGGCGUAAAGGGUGUGUAGGCGGUUCUUUUAAGUUUGGUGUGAAAUCUCCCGGCUCAACUGGGAGGGUGCGCCGAAUACUGAGGGACUAGAGUACGGGAGAGGAAAGUGGAAUUCCUGGUGUAGCGGUGAAAUGCGUAGAUAUCAGGAGGAACACCGGUGGUGUAGACGGCUUUCUGGACCGACACUGACGCUGAGACACGAAAGCGUGGGUAGCAAACAGG
rnacentral:rRNA from 1 species